rnacentral:rRNA from 1 species
GACGAACGCUGGCGGCGUGCUUAACACAUGCAAGUCGAACGAGCCAUAGCAAUAUGGUUAGUGGCGAACGGGUGAGUAACACGUGACUAAUCUGCCCCGGACUGGGGAAUAACGUCGGGAAACUGACGCUAAUACCGCAUAUUGAGCGCGGUUUGCAUGAUCUGCGCUUGAAAGAUUUAUCGGUCCGGGAUGAGGUCGCGCCCCAUUAGCUUGUUGGUAGGGUAACGGCCUACCAAGGCGACGAUGGGUAGCUGGUCUGAGAGGAUGAUCAGCCACACUGGGACUGAGAUACGGCCCAGACUCCUAUGGGAGGCAGCAGUGAGGAAUAUUGCGCAAUGGGCGAAAGCCUGACGCAGCAACGCCGCGUGGGGGAUGAAGGUGGUUUCCAUUGUAAACCCCUGUAGGGAGGGACGAACAAGCUGGUUUUGCCGGCUGUGACGGUACCUCCAAAGUAAGCACCGGCUAACUCCGUGCCAGCAGCCGCGGUAAUACGGGA